rnacentral:rRNA from 1 species
CAUGGUUAAGUGGGAAACGAUGUGGGAAGGCCCAGACAGCCAGGAUGUUGGCUUAGAAGCAGCCAUCAUUUAAAGAAAGCGUAAUAGCUCACUGGUCGAGUCGGCCUGCGCGGAAGAUGUAACGGGGCUAAACCAUGCACCGAAGCUGCGGCAGCGACGCUUAUGCGUUGUUGGGUAGGGGAGCGUUCUGUAAGCCUGUGAAGGUGUGCUGUGAGGUAUGCUGGAGGUAUCAGAAGUGCGAAUGCUGACAUAAGUAACGAUAAAGCGGGUGAAAAGCCCGCUCGCCGGAAGACCAAGGGUUCCUGUCCAACGUUAAUCGGGGCAGGGUGAGUCGACCCCUAAGGCGAGGCCGAAAGGCGUAGUCGAUGGGAAACAGGUUAAUAUUCCUGUACUUGGUGUUACUGCGAAGGGGGGACGGAGAAGGCUAUGUUGGCCGGGCGACGGUUGUCCCGGUUUAAGCGUGUAGGCUGGUUUUCCAGGCAAAUCCGGAAAAUCAAGGCCGAGGCGUGAUGACGAGGCACUACGGUGCUGAAGCAACAAAUGCCCUGCUUCCAGGAAAAGCCUCUAAGCAUCAGGUAACAUCAAAUCGUACCCCAAACCGACACAGGUGGUCAGGUAGAGAAUACCAAGGCGCUUGAGAGAACUCGGGUGAAGGAACUAGGCAAAAUGGUGCCGUAACUUCGGGAGAAGGCACGCUGAUACGUAGGUGAAGCGACUUGCUCGUGGAGCUGAAAUCAGUCGAAGAUACCAGCUGGCUGCAACUGUUUAUUAAAAACACAGCACUGUGCAAACACGAAAGUGGACGUAUACGGUGUGACGCCUGCCCGGUGCCGGAAGGUUAAUUGAUGGGGUUAGCGCAAGCGAAGCUCUUGAUCGAAGCCCCGGUAAACGGCGGCCGUAACUAUAACGGUCCUAAGGUAGCGAAAUUCCUUGUCGGGUAAGUUCCGACCUGCACGAAUGGCGUAAUGAUGGCCAGGCUGUCUCCACCCGAGACUCAGUGAAAUUGAACUCGCUGUGAAGAUGCAGUGUACCCGCGGCAAGACGGAAAGACCCCGUGAACCUUUACUAUAGCUUGACACUGAACAUUGAGCCUUGAUGUGUAGGAUAGGUGGGAGGCUUUGAAGUGUGGACGCCAGUCUGCAUGGAGCCGACCUUGAAAUACCACCCUUUAAUGUUUGAUGUUCUAACGUGGACCCGUGAUCCGGGUUGCGGACAGUGUCUGGUGGGUAGUUUGACUGGGGCGGUCUCCUCCUAAAGAGUAACGGAGGAGCACGAAGGUUGGCUAAUCCUGGUCGGACAUCAGGAGGUUAGUGCAAUGGCAUAAGCCAGCUUGACUGCGAGCGUGACGGCGCGAGCAGGUGCGAAAGCAGGUCAUAGUGAUCCGGUGGUUCUGAAUGGAAGGGCCAUCGCUCAACGGAUAAAAGGUACUCCGGGGAUAACAGGCUGAUACCGCCCAAGAGUUCAUAUCGACGGCGGUGUUUGGCACCUCGAUGUCGGCUCAUCACAUCCUGGGGCUGAAGUAGGUCCCAAGGGUAUGGCUGUUCGCCAUUUAAAGUGGUACGCGAGCUGGGUUUAGAACGUCGUGAGACAGUUCGGUCCCUAUCUGCCGUGGGCGCUGGAGAACUGAGGGGGGCUGCUCCUAGUACGAGAGGACCGGAGUGGACGCAUCACUGGUGUUCGGGUUGUCAUGCCAAUGGCACUGCCCGGUAGCUAAAUGCGGAAGAGAUAAGUGCUGAAAGCAUCUAAGCACGAAACUUGCCCCGAGAUGAGUUCUCCCUGACCCUUUAAGGGUCCUGAAGGAACGUUGAAGACGACGACGUUGAUAG